AUACGGAGGGGGCUAGCGUUGUUCGGAAUUACUGGGCGUAAAGCGCACGUAGGCGGAUUAAAAAGUUAGAGGUGAAAUCCCAGGGCUUAACCCUGGAACUGCCUUUAAAACUAGUAGUCUAGAGUUCGAGAGAGGUGAGUGGAAUUCCAAGUGUAGAGGUGAAAUUCGUAGAUAUUUGGAGGAACACCAGUGGCGAAGGCGGCUCACUGGCUCGAUACUGACGCUGAGGUGCGAAAGCGUGGGGAGCAAACAGGAUUAGAUACCCUAGUAGUCC
rnacentral:rRNA from 1 species